rnacentral:rRNA from 1 species
GAUGAACGCUAGCUACAGGCUUAACACAUGCAAGUCGAGGGGCAGCGCAGUGUAGCAAUACAUGGGCGGCGACCGGCGCACGGGUGCGUAACGCGUAUCCAACCUUCCCGUUACUCUUGGAUAGCCUUCCGAAAGGGGAGAUUAAUACAGGAUGGUGUUCAAAUUCCGCAUGUUAUUUGAACUAAAGAUUUAUCGGUAACGGAUGGGGAUGCGUGACAUUAGAUAGUAGGCGGGGUAACGGCCCACCUAGUCUACGAUGUCUAGGGGGUUCUGAGAGGAAGGUCCCCCCACACUGGAACUGAGACACGGUCCAGACUCCUACGGGAGGCAGCAGUGAGGAAUAUUGGUCAAUGGUCGGAAGACUGAACCAGCCAAGUAGCGUGAAGGAUGAAGGCUCUAUGGAUUGUAAACUUCUUUUAUACGGGAAUAAAACGCCUUACGUGUAGGGUCUUGUAUGUACCGUAUGAAUAAGCAUCGGCUAACUCCGUG